AUUGAACGCUGGCGGCAGGCCUAACCCAUGCAAGUCGAGCGGAUGAAAUUUGCUUGCUUCUUGGUUCAGCGGCGGACUGGCGAGUAAUGCCUAGGAAUCUGCCUGGUACUGGGGGAUUACUUCCGGAACCGGGCGCUCAUACCGCGUACGUCCUGAGGGUGUAAGCGGGGGCUCUUCGGACCUCCCGCUAUCUUGUGAGACUAUGUCGGCUUGUGUAGUUAGUGGGGUUACUGCCUCCCACGGCGACUAUCCGUAACUGUACUGAGCGGAUGAUCCGCCACACGAGAACUGAGACACGGUCCACACUCCUAAGGGAGCCAGCAGUGGGGAAUAUCGGACGAUGGGCGAAAGCCUGAUCCAGCCAUGCCGCGUGUUUGAAGAAGGUCUUCGGAUUGUAAAGCUCUUUAAGUUGGGAGGAAGGGCAGUAAGUUGAUACCUUGCUGUUUUGACGUUACCAACAGAAUAAACACCGGCUAACUUCGUG
rnacentral:rRNA from 1 species